AUUUAUACAGUUGCGACGAUCGAUAAUUUCACUAUUCUUUAUUAUUAUUUCCCAGGAUAUAAUAAACCUAUAAUUACCACGAGACGAUCCUAUUCCUAGUCCAACUUCAUAUGGCAAACAUGCAUUAACAUUUAGGAUUAUCACAUAAGAUCGUACAGGCCACAAAUAUUAUUCCUAAUAUUUAUUGCUCGUGUGUUCCAAUAACAAUGUUCUACCUACCGUGAGUUUUCCAACACUACGAAUAAGAAACUUAUUGUCCUAAUGGAGCGCAAACACUAAAACAGUAUAAAUAGGCAUAUUAAUGGAAUCACAAUGCAAGAAUUAACAUAAAAACAUAGGUCUCGAAUUAACACUAAAAAUUAAACAAUUUUGUUAUCAUCCAAUACAUGAAACGAAUUAGCCUAACAUAUUAUUGGAAUCAAACAAAUAAAAGUGGAAGGAUAUCACCAAAAAUUGACGGACGUGUUUAACUCCAAUUAUAAUCCAAUAAUCCGUGUCUUUCUUGCGGUUGCCGUCUUCAUAUUUGCCGUAGUAUUUGACUGCAAUUUAUCCUUGAAGCUGCUCUCCAAUUCAAUUGCCGACUAUAUGCGUGUGUAACAAUUCUGCUUCUUCAAUUUUCAUCUGCCGGCCACCAAUUUAUAUGUAUAUAAAAUCUGAUUCAGAGCCGCCCACUUGUCUCCAGCAGCCAGCAAUAGUUAUCUUUCAAUUUCUCCUUAAAAGCAACCACCAAUUUGUAGUUUAUUUUCUUCCCAAUUCCCACCAGCUGCCAAUAUGCGUGUAUGUAUAUAUAUUAUAGCAGAAACAACCCUCCUUUUUCUUUUGGAGUCAAGUCCACAUGUGGAAUAUAUCUCCCUUGCUGUCAAUGUUUUUCCUCCCCCAAGGUCGCUGCCAAAUUGCGUGAUUUUUAUCUUCAAAGUUGCAGCCACCAACUUAGUGUAUGAAUUAAUAAAUUCAGCCCAAUGUUUUAACUCACCAGUAGCCGCUAUAUAUAUAUAUAUAUAUAUACACACACACACACACUCCAACCGCAGCCCUUAUUUUUGUGAUUUUUGGAUUCCAAAUUCAGCCCCCUUUUUUUAAUAAGCUGCCGUGUCCAAUUAAUGUGUAUCUAUCCUCCCUUCUUUCUUUUUUAUUUUCGCCAGCAUGUGUAUAUAUAUUAGUGGUAACCUAGCCCACAAUAUUUGACUUUCAAAAGGAUUCCAAUUGCUCUCCAAUUUUCUUUCAAUGGCCACUUUAAUCCACGUACUUUAAAUAUUGCCAUUUUCGCCCAAUUUUCUCUUCUUUCCUUCACUUCCUUUUAAUCCAUGAAAAUUCACCUAUUAAACGUAAGACACAACAAUUUAGAAUAUAUUUUGCUAAAAGACUAUCAAAUAUCGUUAUUUUAGAGCCUCGAAUAAGUAUAUAAAAUACACUUAUCAAACACCCCCAAACUUAAAUAUUUGUUUGUCCUCAGACAAAAUUAUAACACAAACAUGCAAAAAUAUUUGGUUAGACAAUUUAGCUUUUUGCCUCAGAAUUUGAAAUCACAAUAUUAAAUCUACAAACUACUUCAAAGUCACAGUACCAAACUAAUAUCCAUUUUUCCAAUGCAAAAUCGACGUGUGUGUGUGAAGAACUAAGUAAACAUUAAUGAAUUUACAAGUUAUUUCAAUUCCCGACCCUCUAUGGUCAAAUAUAUCUUUUCAUCUCUCGUAAGAUUUACACACCCCCAAAUCAUUUUCACACUCUUUUCCCAGUGUGUGAUCUAAGAUUGAAUUUUUAUCACUAUCCUCACCUCUCCAAUUCAGGUGGAUGUCACUAGUUGCAAGUUAACGCAUCAAUGAAUAAGGAUUCUCAAAUUAUUUGAUUACUUCGACUGCCAAGAUUCAAUUAGGUUAAUUAUCAUUUAUCGAAAGUCAAGUUCCCUCAAACAAGUGUUGGGACUUACAAGGCAUUUAGUGCUUUUUUUUUUUUACACUUUCCCUUAAGCUUUCUAGAUGACUCAUGUAGCAGGCUUUAGGCCGAUGACUCCCAAAUCAGAUGACUUUAGGGCGCCAUGUUUUACCAGAAUAAUGAAGUCCGCUGGGAAGAUAAACUUGUCAACCUUCACCAAAAUAUCUUCACAAAUACCACGAGGGUGUUUGAUUGACCUGUCAGCCAACUGUAGUGAAACUGUUGUCGAUUUUGCUUCCCCCAAACCUAGUUUUCUGAAAAGAGAUAAAGGAAUUAAAUUAAUGCUAGCUCCUAGAUCACACAAUGCCUUGUAUAUAUACAAAUUCCCAAUGUGACAAAGAAUAGUAAAACUCCUUGGGUCUUUUAGUUUCAGUGGUAAUUUGUGUUGGAAAAUUGCGCUACACUCCUCAGUAAGUAUGACUGUUUCAUUGUCUUUCAACUUCCUCUUAUUUGAUAGAAUAUCUUUCAUGAACUUGGCGUAGCUGGGCAUUUGUGCUAAAGUUUCAACAAAUGGUAUGUUAAUGUGCAUCUUUUUGAAAACAUCCAAAAAUUUCUGGAAUUGCAUGUCGAGCUUAUGUUUUUACAAUCUCUGUGGAAAUGGGAAUGGAGAAACAUAUACUUUGACAGGAGCAUUUGCCUUCACCUGUGGACUAUCUGAUUAUUCAACUUGAUUAUCCUCUGAGGCUUUGUCUGAUUCAUCUACUUGCUCCUCGCCCAUAAUAGGUGCCUUUUCUAUGACAGUUGCUGGCCAUUUUACAUGUAAAUAGAUAUGAACUCAAAAUAACAGGGGUCAAAGUCGGCCAAUGAGACGAUGGGGGAUAAGCUUCAUCGUCGAGAGGGAAACAGCCCAGAUCACUAGCUAAGGCCCCUAAAUGAUCGCUUAGUGAUAACGGAGGUAGGGGUGAUUCCAACUCAGCACCUUUUGAAUGAGAUUUUGAGAAGAGUUGCUCUUUGGAGAGCACAGUACGAGGGAAUGGGAACAUGUAGGAAUAAUAAGGCCUAUUCUUUUUUUUAUUUUUGUUGACCUUCGUAAGUAACGCAUUUCGGGAAGAACCAGCUAGCUCUGGGUUCGAGUGACAUUUCACCCCUAACCACAACUCAUCCACUGAUUCUUCAACAUCAAUCGGUCUGGUAACUAGACGCCACUACGUGUAGUGAUUGCUUUGACCUGGUCCUUAGGAUUUGUUUCAGUAUUGCUGGACAAAGUCCCUUAAGCUCUACCUGAUAGUGUGGCUGCAAUUUUUCCAACCUGUUUUUCCAAAAAUUCUUGAUCGAGGCUUGUUGGUUCUGAAAGUUGGUCUCAGUUUUAGUAAUAUCUUGAGCCAGCAAAUCUUCCAACGAUGGCCUUCUCCCUUGCUAUUGUUGCUGUUGGAACCUUGGUGGUUUAUUUUGAUUGUGUCGUUCCUGUUUUUGUCCCUGACUAUUGGACCAUGAAAAAUUUGGAUGGUUCUUCCAACCCGGAUUAAAUGUGCUGGAAAAAGGAUUAUUUUGCUGUCUCUGAAAGUUCUGUGCGUAGCUUACUUCUUCGGAUUGAUUAACAUGUGUAGAUGCCAAAGGGCAACGUAUACUAGCAUGAUUCGCUCCACAGCCUUCGUAAACAGGUGGCGAUUGGUGUACCAUGUUGACUGACUUAGAUAGAUUGUCCAUUUUCAUUGUAGGAACUUCCAUUUGUACGACCAAUGCUGUCACUGCAUCUACGUUGUGUAACCCUAAUGUUUUCCUUAAGGCUUCCCUAUCAGUUGGCCACAUCGAUUGGUUUUCAGCUAUUUUUUCAUACAGGUCAUAUGCCUCAUCCAUAUCAAGUUUCAUCACUGAUCCUCCUACUGAAGCAACUAUCAUAUUUCUGAACUCUUGUUUUAGACCAUAGUAGAAAAGAUAUUGCUGAGCCUGCUUGGGAAUGUCAAGGCUGGGGCAUUUUCUGAAAAAAAAAAUUUGAACCUCUCCCAUGCCUUAGGAUAGCUCUCUAAAUCUUUCUGCCUAAAAAUGUGAACGUCAUUCCAAAUUUGGUGAAUUCGAGAAGGUGAAAAGAAUUUCAUCGUGAAUUUUUGAACCAUAUCGUUACAUGAUUGAAUGCUCCCUGGUGGUAAAUAAAGAAACCAUUCUCUAGUAGUGUCCUUCAAGGUGUGAGGGAAUAAUCUCAUUCGGAAUGUAUCUGCUGAUAUCCUUUAGUGACUGAUCACUUCACAUAACAUGAGAAAAGCAGAAAUAUGCUCAUGAGGAUUUUUCGCGACUUUUCCAAAGAACCUGAUGUCUUGGUGAUUUUGAAACAAAUUGAUGGCAUUUGGUUGAAGGUGGAAAUUAGGUUGUCCAAAAGGAGGGUAUACCACAGCAGGUUGUACUGGUGUGGGAAUUGGAUUGAUGUAAUCUCCAACUAAGACAGGAGCUUCGUUCUGGUUAGCUCUCGGUUGAUUUGGCUGUAGUACUGGCUCAUGAAGCUGAACUUGAUUUUGUGGUUGAUUUUGGUUAUCAGCCAUUCUCCUUACCUAACGUUGAACUCUUCUGCGAUUUCUAAAUGUUCUUUCGAUUUCGUGGUCUAUUGGAAAGAGAUCUAGCUUGUCAGGAUUUUGCAUAAACUAAAGUUGCCUAAAAAGUAUAAUGGUAGCCUAAAAACAACUAAAAAUAAAAUGAAAAUAAACACAAUAAAAAUUAAAUAAAUAAUAAUAAAAACAAAUCUAAUAUAAACUACUAAACUAAAAUUAAAUCCGUUAUUUCCUGGCAACGACUCCAAAAACUUGUUCGUGUGAAACCCGCAACCGUACGGAAUCGUUGACAAGUAAUAAUCGUGACGAGAGAGUUAUCGUCUGACAGAGAAUAAGGAUAAAUUUUAGUAUAUUUGAUAUGUUUAAAUUCGUAUUUGUAACUAAAAGACGAUCGAAAGAAUAGCUAAAUAAUUUUUAUAACUAAAACUUGUGAAAAUAAUUAAAAUUGGUUUAAAAAUUCAAAUGUGUGGACGUAUUGGAUUCCCAACGCCACUGAUCAAUUCUUAGUUCUAAUUCUCAAUCAAUAAUAAUUAUCUCAAUUUAUGCAGUUGCGACAAUCGAUAAUUCUAAUAUUCUUUAUUAUUCUUUCCUAAGAUAUAAUAAACUUAUGAUUACCACGAGACGAUCAUAUUCUUAGUCUGGUUUUAUAUGGCAAACAUGCAUUGAUAUUUAGGAUUAUCACAUAAGACCACACACGCCACAAAUAUUAUUUCUAAUAUUUAUUGCCCGUGUAUUCCAAUUACAGUGUUCUACCUACCGUGAGUUUUCCAACACUAUGAAUAAGUAACUUAUUGUCCUAAUGGUGCGCAAACACUAAAACGGUAUAAAUAGGCAUAUUAAUGGAAUCACAAUGUAAGAAUUAACAUAAAAACACAGAUCUCGAAUUAACACUAAAAAUCACACAAUUUUGUCAUCAUCCAAUACAUGAAACGAUUAGCCUAACAUAUUAUUGGAAUCAAAGAAAUAAAAGUGGAAGGACAUCACCAAAAAUUGACGGACGUGUUUAACUCCAAUUAUAAUCCAAUAAUCCGUGUCUUUCUUGCUGUUGCCAUCUUCAUAUUUGCCGUCGUGUUCGACUGCAUUUAUCCUUGAAGCUGUUG
rnacentral:lncRNA from 1 species